UACAGAGGGUGCGAGCGUUAAUCGGAAUUACUGGGCGUAAAGCGCGCGUAGGCGGCUUUGCAAGUCGGGUGUGAAAUCCCCAGGCUUAACCUGGGAACUGCAUUUGAGACUGCAUUGCUAGAGUAUGGGGGAGGGAAGUGGAAUUUCCGGUGUAGCGGUGAAAUGCGUAGAUAUCGGAAGGAACAUCAGUGGCGAAAGCGACUUCCUGGACCAAUACUGACGCUCAUGUGCGAAAGCGUGGGGAGCAAACAGG
rnacentral:rRNA from 1 species